rnacentral:rRNA from 1 species
AACGAACGCUGGCGGCAUGCCUAACACAUGCGAGUCGAACGAGACCUUCGGGUCUAGUGGCGCACGGGUGCGUAACGCGUGGGAACCUGCCCUUAGGUUCGGAAUAACUCCCCGAAAGGGGUGCUAAUACCGGAUAAUGUCUUCGGACCAAAGAUUUAUCGCCUUUGGAUGGGCCCGCGUUGGAUUAGCUAGUUGGUAGGGUAAAAGCCUACCAAGGCGACGAUCCAUAGCUGGUCCGAGAGGAUGAUCAGCCACACUGGGACUGAGACACGGCCCAGACUCCUACGGGAGGCAGCAGUGGGGAAUAUUGGACAAUGGGCGAAAGCCUGAUCCAGCAAUGCCGCGUGAGUGAUGAAGGCCUUAGGGUUGUAAAGCUCUUUUACCCGGGAUGAUAAUGACAGUACCGGGAGAAUAAGCUCCGGCUAACUCCGUG